AACGUAGGGGGCAAGCGUUAUCCGGAUUUACUGGGUGUAAAGGGAGCGUAGGCGGCGAUGCAAGUCAGAAGUGAAAGCCCGGGGCUCAACUCCGGGACUGCUUUUGAAACUGUGUUGCUAGAUUGCAGGAGAGGUAAGUGGAAUUCCUAGUGUAGCGGUGAAAUGCGUAGAUAUUAGGAGGAACACCAGUGGCGAAGGCGGCUUACUGGACUGUAAAUGACGCUGAGGCUCGAAAGCGUGGGGAGCAAACAGG
rnacentral:rRNA from 1 species